GAGAAAAAACCUAGACGCUUUCAUAGUACUUGGCACAUGAUAAAUCUGCCUUAAGACACAGUAAUGGCGAUGACUGCAAGCCCAGUGUGUCAAGUUCAUCCACACAUCUGAGUGAGCUCUGGGCUAAUGCUAUGGAAAAAGUUAAAAGUUGAAUAUGAUACAAUCUCUCCUGUAUCAUCUCCCUGGGAGACAAGAUGCAGGGCCAGGGGUCAGGGGUCAUAUCACAAGAGAUCUUCAAGUCAAACCAAGGAGUCUGAACUUUAUCUUGAUGGAAACUGGGAGCUGUGGAAGUAAAGGUAAAAGUUUUAGUAGAGCUGAGGGAAUGGAAGCCUGUGGGGACAGGAGACAUUACUUCCUCGAUGCCAAACCACCUGUCAUCUUACUGGCUCCUUACGUCCUGGCAGAAAGAGAGACUGAGGGACCACAAGAGACGGAGAUAGAGGCAGGGAGAACUGAGAAGGGAGGAAGCUGAGUUUGGGCUUCCAGUGACAGCGCUCCUUUUCCUGCUCUCUCUGCCUGCCUGUCUGAGAGACUGGCAGAGCCCCCAGCCCAUUCUAAACUAUCCCAGGCAAGGUUGCUGAAUAAUUCCCACCACCUCCAAACGGCACUCCACGUGGCAGCCAAAGCCUGCUGCCAAGAGGCAAGUGGCCAAGAUUCCUUUCCAACAGAGACGUCCCCUUGCCAAUCAGAAUGAGGCCGGCACACGUCCCAGAAAAUCGGACUGUUGCUGUCCCAUCAAGCCAGAUGACACCAUCAGGACUUCCUGACCCUGACCACUGUCUAACCCUUGUCCCCAAAGCCUCCCAGCAAGGCAUAAGGUCCACACCACAAGGAGCAAACACCUGCCUCCUCCACAGAUCCACCUGAUGAGAGCUCAGCCUCUGGAGUCAAAACGCAUGGGUUCAAAGCCCAGCCUCUCGAAUGAGCAGCUAUGCGACACAGGGCAAGUCACAACCUCUCUGAGCCCCAUCUGCAACCACACAAUAGGGUUCAUAACAGUUUCUACCUCAUAGAAUUGUUAGGGGAAUUAAAUGAGAUCAUAUACUAGAAGUGAUUGCCCAGUACCUAGUGUUCAGUCAGUGUUCAGUAAAUGCUCAAAUUCUAUAAGAUACCCAAAGAUAUCUCAGCUAACUGACAAUAUCAGCUAUCCAGAAUGAGGCUGGGGACCAGAGAAGCAGCAGAAAAGUCCCCCAAGCAGUUAAAGUAAAUGUAAGAGUCAACACAUGGAAAGUCCAAUCAUGAAAACCAUUUUAUAUGAUAUUAGUAAUACUGUAGUCCUGUAAUUAAUAUAUAGUAAUACAGUAAUUAGUAACCACCAGUAGCAAGCAUUGGGCCCAGCAAAUUAAAUACAUCUUGUCAUUUAACCAGUUAUGUGCUAGUAAACAGUGGUGUGCUUAAAAACCAGCUUUCUAGGAAAAAAGGCAAAGUCCAGAUGUGUUCCAUGGUGUAAAUUCUCCCAGCAUGUUCAGUUUCAAGCUCCCACUGUGAGGUCACCACCCCUGGAGCUGCAGGGAGGCUAAUGGUCCUCACCAGCCAGCUCCAGUCACCACUGCAUUUACCAUCCCUAUGUCCCUAUUAGGUUAUAUGGUGAGAAGCAGCACAAGGAUCACAUGCAGGCAGUGGAAGGAUGCACCUUCUCCCCACUCCAGACAGCUUGAACCACAUGGUUUUUUUUUUGUUUUUUUUUUUUGCGGUACGCGGGCCUCUCACUGUUGUGGCCUCUCCUGUUGCGGAGCACAGGCUCCAGACGCGCAGGCUCAGUGGCCAUGGCUCACCGGCCCAGCCGCUCCGCGGCAUGUGGGAUCUUCCCGGACCGGGGCACGAACCCGUGUCCCCUGCAUCGGCAGGCGGACUCUCAACCACUGCGCCACCAGGGAAGCCCCACAUGCUUUUUUAAUAAAUAGCCAAUAGGCCCAUAUCCCCCAUGUCCUCACCUCCCUAAAUAGCCCCUUAGGACAUAGGGGCCCUGUUGGCAGCGCCUGUGCUUCCCUCUGCUUCUCAAACUUGAAUGUGCACAAGAAUCAUGUGGGGACUUGUCAAAGGUCAGAUUCUGAUUCCAGGUCCAGCAUUGGGCCAUGUCCCUGCAUCACUAACAGGAUUCAGGCGACACCGAUGCUAUCACUCCACGGCCAACCACACUGUAAGUAGUGAAGGUCUGAAUUCCAAAUGUUCAAAUCCCCAGGCUGCUUGUGGGACCCCCGAUACUCCUCUGCGUCUCAAGGUUUUGUAAAUCUUUGAAGCGAUUAUAGCCUAACCACAAACACCUUGGAGUUUGCCCAAUUCACGUGGCUCCUGCAUGGUCACUUCUGUGAUUAGCUUAUUCUAACUCUUAUUCAACAAACACAAGUCCUCACUCUAUACCAGGCCCGGGAUGGUGUUGGGAAUAUGAAAAGACCCAGUCUCUGCCUCAGGGAGCUGACGGACUCCUUCAUUUGGCAGGAAAGUGCCUACUACAUCCUUCUGCUGGGUUUCCUGCAGCCAUGCCUAUGGGGCUGUGCUGGCAUUAACUGAUGGGGCGCCUUCAGUGCUCUGGCUCAAGGCCUCAGAGCCAGGGAAAGUUUGUU